UACGGGGGGGGCAAGCGUUGUUCGGAAUUACUGGGCGUAAAGGGCUCGUAGGUGGCCAACUAAGUCAUACGUGAAAUCCCUCAGCUUAACUGGGGAACUGCGUGUGAUACUGGAUGGCUUGGAUUUGGGAGAGGGAUGCGGAAUUCCAGGUGUAGCGGUGAAAUGCGUAGAUAUCUGGAGGAACACCGGUGGCGAAGGCGGCAUCCUGGACCAAUAUUGACGCUGAGGAGCGAAAGCCAGGGGAGCAAACGGG
rnacentral:rRNA from 1 species